rnacentral:rRNA from 1 species
UACGUAGGUCCCGAGCGUUGUCCGGAUUUAUUGGGCGUAAAGCGAGCGCAGGUGGUUUAUUAAGUCUGGUGUAAAAGGCAGUGGCUCAACCAUUGUAUGCAUUGGAAACUGGUAGACUUGAGCGCAGGAGAGGAGAGUGGAAUUCCAUGUGUAGCGGUGAAGUGCGUAGAUAUAUGGAGGAACACCGGUGGCGAAAGCGGCUCUCUGGCCUGUAACUGACACUGAGGCUCGAAAGCGUGGGGAGCAAACAGG